rnacentral:piRNA from 1 species
UAAGAAAUAUCUAAUAAGCCCUGUGUGGGA